rnacentral:tRNA from 1 species
GUGACCAUAGCUCAGUUGGUAGAGCGCUGGAUUGUGGCUCCAGAGGUCACGGGUUCAACCCCCGUUGGUCACCCCA